rnacentral:tRNA from 1 species
GAGUAUGAAGCAAUACUGCACUUAGUUUCGACCUAAUGAUUGAUAUUAACUUUAUCCUUACUCU